ensembl:lncRNA
UACUAAAAUGUAUGUUGACAUAAAAAGCAGCAUUGCUUUAACAGUCAGCUGCAGUAAAAAAAUCCCACAGGUUUCUUUCUUUUUACAAGUCAAAAGUUUGGGACAUAACUUAUCCAGACCUGCCCUCCCAAAGGAAAAUCCCUGCCCUGCUGACAGCAUCCUUGCGCAGUUAAAACCCAGGGACAGUUUUGCAGAUAAAAGCCCUCUUCAGAGUAUUUAGUCUGGUGGCCUUUACCCAGCCAGCUUGGCAGACCACAAGGCUGAGAUGAGAGAGGUCACAGAAGAGACCAGUCCUAAGAAGGGAAGAAAAUCCCAAGAGGCCAGGGAAGCCCUGCUGUGGAGCCCACCAGAAGCAUCACUCCUCGAGCAGCACAGUGGCUGCAAUCCAAAGCCCAAUGCUCUACCAAAAUUUGGAAAACCCAUCUUGUACACAAAAGGAAAAAAGGACCUUGCACCCAGCCUGUACAAAAUCCACAGUUCCAGGUCACUACUGGCCAAGGGCCUCAGCCAGAUACAGCCUCAACCACAGCCUCAGCUUUGCCUUGUGGGGUCAUACAGUCAUAGAAUUAUUUGGGUUGGAAAAGACCUUUAAGGUCAGUGUCAUUUUCACUAUUUCCCUUCUGGGCUGUCCUUUAGUGUGGCAGAAACAGGCAGCAAAACUCUGUUUUGCAGAAAUGCUUCUAUGGUUGCAUUUCUUCUUUUUCUAGACAUCAUCUAUCUUCAUGUCCUUUGAUUGUUAAUUUUUGGGGGUUUUUUGAUCCUGAGGAGGAUGUGCCAGGAAAAUAUUAUUUUAAGGCUUCUCACAGAUGGAAUUUCUUUUUUUUUUUUUUUAAUCUAUGAGUAAUAUUCAAUUAAAAAAAAACUUGUCUGGAGAGGGCGGAAUUGCAGCAAUGGGUGAAAAGGCCUUGGUCUGGUUCUGAGCCUUGUCCUGAGGUGAUGCUGGCUGUCAGAAAAGUGGAUGAUAUGCAGUGCUCUUGGAAGAUCUGUGCUUUUUUCUGAAAAUAAGUGCAUCCAGAUGCCAGAGGAGCUUGUGAACUCCAUGGCCAGGCUUUACUGGAAGAUAAAUCAUGACAAGAAAGUUUCAAGGAAAUUUUGGAUUAAAUUUAAAAAGUCUGUAAACAAAUCUCACUCCUGCUCAUUGUGCCCUUAUGGAUAGGUCCUUUCCUUCAAGCUUAGGCUUCUCCUGCCAUGUUGUACCAGCUUCUCCAGGUGCAUCCAGCCUUGCCAGUCCCCUCUUGGCACCUGGGCAAGCACCUGGCUGCAUGUUCCACCUUCUGCUCUGCUUUAAGGCUCCUGCUUUGCCAGAGGAGUUUGUUCCCUUUGCUCACCACAUACCUGCCUACAGUUUUUUCCCCUUCUCAGGAUUUUCAGAGAAAAUGUCACCUGCCAUCUGCCUUCCCCACAAAUGACUCUGCCUGAUCCACAGCACAGCAGAGAUGUUUGCCAGGACCAGGCUAACUGGUAGCAUUUCUUUCAGUUGUUCAGCCAAAUCCUUUCAAAUGGAUGUAACAUAUUCACAUUGGACCAGGUGUGAGCCAAGCUCAUGGCAUCUGUCACAGCAAUUGAAACCCACUGCUCUCAUGACCUGACUU